rnacentral:rRNA from 1 species
GACGAACGCUGGCGGCGUGCUUAACACAUGCAAGUCGAACGGAAAGGCCCUGCUUUUGUGGGGUGCUCGAGUGGCGAACGGGUGAGUAACGCGUGAGUAACCUGCCCUUGACUUUGGGAUAACUUCAGGAAACUGGGGCUAAUACCGGAUAGGAGCUCCUGCUGCAUGGUGGGGGUUGGAAAGUUUCGGCGGUUGGGGAUGGACUCGCGGCUUAUCAGCUUGUUGGUGGGGUAGUGGCUUACCAAGGCUUUGACGGGUAGCCGGCCCGAGAGGGUGACCGGCCACAUUGGGACUGAGAUACGGCCCAGACUCCUACGGGAGGCAGCAGUGGGGAAUAUUGCACAAUGGGCGGAAGCCUGAUGCAGCAACGCCGCGUGCGGGAUGACGGCCUUCGGGUUGUAAACCGCUUUCGCCUGUGACGAAGCGUGAGUGACGGUAAUGGGUAAAGAAGCACCGGCUAACUACGUG